rnacentral:rRNA from 1 species
GCUUAACACAUGCAAGUCGAGCGGUAAGGCCCUUCGGGGUACACGAGCGGCGAACGGGUGAGUAACACGUGGGUGAUCUGCCUCGUACUCUGGGAUAAGCCUGGGAAACUGGGUCUAAUACCGGAUAUGACCACGAAUCGCAUGGUUUGUGGUGGAAAGAUUUAUCGGUGCGAGAUGGGCCCGCGGCCUAUCAGCUUGUUGGUGGGGUAAUGGCCUACCAAGGCGACGACGGGUAGCCGGCCUGAGAGGGCGACCGGCCACACUGGGACUGAGACACGGCCCAGACUCCUACGGGAGGCAGCAGUGGGGAAUAUUGCACAAUGGGCGGAAGCCUGAUGCAGCGACGCCGCGUGCGGGAUGACGGCCUUCGGGUUGUAAACCGCUUUCGACAGGGACGAAGCGUGAGUGACGGUACCUGUAGAAGAAGCACCGGCCAACUACGUGCCAGCAGCCGCGGUAAUACGUAGGGUGCGAGCGUUGUCCGGAAUUACUGGGCGUAAAGAGCUUGUAGGCGGUUUGUCGCGUCGUUCGUGAAAACUUGGGGCUCAACCCCAAGCUUGCGGGCGAUACGGGCAGACUAGAGUACUGCAGGGGAGACUGGAAUUC